UGCGGAAGGAUCAUUAUCGAGUGUAGACGUGGGGCUUUGAUGCUGGCGGUCAAACGCAAGUGCUCGAGCCCUCGCUCUUAUCCACUUAACCCCUGUGCACCUAUCCGGAGUGUCGCAGACUGGUGUCGGUUUCGACUGGCUAAGGUCUGUCUCUCUGGUCUGAUUACAAACGCUUGUAAUGUCUUGUAGAAUGUGUUAGCCGCAUAUAGGCUGAAUUGUAAUACAACUUUCAACAACGGAUCUCUUGGCUCUCGCAUCGAUGAAGAACGCAGCGAAAUGCGAUAAGUAAUGUGAAUUGCAGAAUUCAGUGAAUCAUCGAAUCUUUGAACGCACCUUGCGCUCCUUGGCUAUUCCGAGGAGCAUGCCUGUUUGAGUGUCAUGUUAAUCUCAACCCCGCCGGUUUUGUAAUCGCGUGGGUGUUGGACUUGGGGGCUGCUGGUUUGCUUAUGUAAGCCGGCUCCUCUUGAAUGCAUUAGCUUGGACCUGUUUCACUUGCGAGUGGUGUAAUAAUACUAUUCGCUGCGCGCAAGUGUAAACUCAUUAGGGUCUGYUUCUAAUCUGUCUUAGGACAAAUUUUCUUGACUCUGACCUCAAAUCAGGUAGGACUACCCGCUGAACUUAAGCAUAUC
rnacentral:rRNA from 1 species